AGCAGGGUAGCCUAGUGGUAGGUUGUUUGACUGGCGACCAAAGAGUUGCUGGGUUCAAGCCCCCAGUGGAGCUU